CUGAUGCAGCGACGCCGCGUGAGGGAUGACGGCCUAUCGGGUUGUAAACCUCUUUCAGCAGGGAAGAAGCGAAAGUGACGGUACCUGCAGAAGAAGCGCCGGCUAACUACGUGCCAGCAGCCGCGGUAAUACGUAGGGCGCAAGCGUUGUCCGGAAUUAUUGGGCGUAAAGAGCUCGUAGGCGGCUUGUCACGUCGGGUGUGAAAGCCCGGGGCUUAACCCCGGGUCUGCAUCCGAUACGGGCAGGCUAGAGUGUGGUAGGGGAGAUCGGAAUUCCUGGUGUAGCGGUGAAAUGCGCAGAUAUCAGGAGGAACACCGGUGGCGAAGGCGGAUCUCUGGGCCAUUACUGACGCUGAGGAGCGAAAGCGUGGGGAGCGAACAGGAUUAGAUACCCUGGUAGUCCACGCCGUAAACGUUGGGAACUAGGUGUUGGCGACAUUCCACGUCGUCGGUGCCGCAGCUAACGCAUUAAGUUCCCCGCCUGGGGAGUACGGCCGCAAGGCUAAAACUCAAAGGAAUUGACGGGGGCCCGCACAAGCAGCGGAGCAUGUGGCUUAAUUCGACGCAACGCGAAGAACCUUACCAAGGCUUGACAUAUACCGGAAAGCAUUAGAGAUAGUGCCCCCCUUGUG
rnacentral:rRNA from 2 species